ensembl:ncRNA T11F9.23 ncRNA
CACUUUUAUAGGAAACAUAUCCAAAGUUGUACUGUGGGCGGAUGUAUCGGAAUUACACUUGACUGAAGCAAUUACGCAAAAAGAAGAGGAAGUGAGAAUAGGGAAAACUGGAAAAGGACGCAACCUGCUAGAAUCAUGAUAAAUUUAUUGCAAAAGGGCAAGUGAAUGAGAUUAGUUC